rnacentral:rRNA from 1 species
CCAGACUCCUACGGGAGGCAGCAGUGAGGAAUAUUGGUCAAUGGCCGAGAGGCUGAACCAGCCAAGUCGCGUGAGGGAUGACGGCCCUACGGGUUGUAAACCUCUUUUGCCGGGGAGCAAAGAGCGGGACGCGUCCCGCCUCGAGAGUACCCGGAGAAAAAGCAUCGGCUAACUCCGUGCCAGCAGCCGCGGUAAUACGGAGGAUGCGAGCGUUAUCCGGAAUGAUUGGGCGUAAAGGGUGCGCAGGCGGUCCUGCAAGUCUGGAGUGAAACGCAUGAGCUCAACUCAUGCAUGGCUUUGGAAACUGGAGGACUGGAGAGCAGGAGAGGGCGGUGGAACUCCAUGUGUAGCGGUAAAAUGCGUAGAUAUAUGGAAGAACACCAGUGGCGAAGGCGGCCGCCUGGCCUGUUGCUGACGCUGAGGCACGAAAGCGUGGGGAGCAAAUAGGAUUAGAUACCCCCGUACU